CUAAGAGCAUACGGGGGAUGCCUUGGCGUUCAGAGGCGACGAAAGACGUGGAUAAGCUGCGAUAAGAAUCGGGGAGCCGCUAAUCAGGCACUGAUCCGGUUAUUUCUGAAUGGGGGAACCCAGCUCGGCUAACACCGAGUUACUCCUUAGGGAGGGCUAACCAGGGGAACUGAAACAUCUAAUUACCCUGAGGAAGAGAAAUCAAUAGAGAUUCCCAUAGUAGCGGUGAGCGAACUGGGAAUAGCCCAAACCAGACGAACUUCGGUUCUUCUGGGGUUGUAGGGCGUACAACAAAGCCGACCAAAGUGGAUAGUUGAAUUGAGUUGGGAAGCUCAGCCAUAGACGGUGAUAGCCCCGUAAACGAAAUUCAUAAUGGCGGUGAGUACGUUCCUGAGUACAGCGAGACACGUGGAACCUUGCUGGAAUCUGGGUGGACCAUCAUCCAAGGCUAAAUACUACUGAACGACCGAUAGCGAACUAGUACCGUGAGGGAAAGGUGAAAAGAACCCCGAGAGGGGAAUGAAAUAGAUCCUGAAACCGUAUGUUUACAAGCAGUCGAAGCACUAUGUCCUUCGGGACACGUGCGACGGCGUACCUCUUGCAUCAUGGGUCAGUGAGUUACGCCUCAGUGGCAAGGUUAAGUCGUAAGACGGAGCCGAAGCGAAAGCGAGUCUUAAUAGGGCGACUUAGUCACUGGGGGUAGACCCGAAGCCAGGUGAUCUAUCCAUGGCCAGGUUGAAGCUCGGGUAACACCGAGUGGAGGACCGAACCGGGUAACGUUGAAAAGUUAUCGGAUGAGCUGUGGAUCGGAGUGAAAGGCUAAUCAAACCUGGAGAUAGCUGGUUCUCCUCGAAAUAUAUUUAGGUAUAGCGUCGUGUAUAUGCAGUGGGGGUAGAGCACUUACUGGGCUAGGGGGCUUACCAGCUUACCAAACCCAAAUAGCCUCCGAAUACCACUGUAGUCGAGCACGGCAGUCAGCCCGCGGAUGACAAGGUCCGCGGACGAAAGGGAAAGAACCCAGACCGCCAGCUAAGGUCCCUAAAUUAAUGCUAAGUGUUUAAGGUUGUGAGGACGCUCAGACAACCAGGAAGUUGGCUUAGAAGCAGCCACCUUUUAAAAAUAGCGUAACAGCUUACUGGUCAAGCGGCCUUGUGCCAAAAAUGUAGCGGGGCUAAAGCAUUAUACCGAAGCUGCGGAUGCACUAUGUGCAUGGUAGAGGAGCGUUGUUAACCGGGAUGAAGCAGGAUUGCAAGAACCUGUGGACUGUUAACAAGUGAAUAUGCUGACAUGAGUAACGAUAAACAAGGUGAAGAGCCUUGUCGCCGAAAACCCAAGGGUUCCUGAGCCAGGAUCAUCCGCUCAGGGUUAGUCGGGUCCUAAGCCGAGGUCGAAAGGCGUAGGUGAUGGACAACAGGUUAAUAUUCCUGUACUGCGUGUAUCGCGCGAUGGGGGGACGGAGAAGGCUAAGUGUACCGGUUAAUGGAUAUGCCGGGGAAAGUAUGUAGGCUGUUGAGUAGGUAAAUCCGCUCAGCGUAUAGGUCGAGAUACGAGACCAUCUGCGAGCUUUGCUCAAGGAGAAGUCACUGAUGCCAUGCUUCCAAGAAAAGCCUCUAAGUUUAGAUACAUGUACCCGUACCCCAAACCAACUCAGGUGGGUAGGUAGAGAAUACUAAGGCGCUUGAGAAAACCGUUGUUAAGGAACUAGGCAAAUUGCAGCCGUAACUUCGGGAGAAGGCUGGCCCUUUUUGGUGAUAGACUUCGCGUCUUGAGCUGGAGAGGGUUGCAAAUACCAGGGGGUAGCGACUGUUUACUAAAAACACAGGACUCUGCUAACUCGUAAGAGGAUGUAUAGGGUCUGACGCCUGCCCGGUGCCGGAAGGUUAAGGGGAUUAGUCAGCACUUCGGUGCGAAGCUUUGAACCGAAGCCCGUAACUAUAACGGUCCUAAGGUAGCGAAAUUCCUUGUCGGGUAAGUUCCGACCUGCACGAAUGGCGUAACGACUUCCCCACUGUCUCAACAACGGUCUCAGUGAAAUUGAAUUGUGCGUGAAGAUGCGCACUACCCGCAGCAAGACGGAAAGACCCCGUGGACCUUUACUACAGCUUGGCGCUGAGUACGGGGGAUGCAUGUGUAGGAUAGGUGGGAGACUUUGAAGCAGUUGCGCUAGCAGCUGUGGAGUCACCCUUGAAAUACCACCCUUGUAUUCUUUGUAUUCUAACCUCGAGAAGUGAAUCCUUCUCAGGAACAGCGUCUGGUGGGUAGUUUGACUGGGGCGGUCGCCUUAACUUAAUGGCCGUCCUGUCCUUCUUAUCCUAGGACAAAAAAAACAACUAGGGGCGCUUAGACGGUAACGUCUAAGGCAAAUUUGGCUAUAUGCUGGAACACCCGUUCUCUAAUCGACUUCCGAGCGCGCGAAGGAGAUGAAGGGAUUUAGUAUCUGACAGUACCAGCCGGAACUCAUUUUGAGUGACAGUUGGUGACAAUCUGUUCAGUGCGGGCAAUCAGCAGGGAAGUUCUCUGGCGUGUUACACGCUAUAACCCCUCAACGACUACACGCCGAACUCCUAAACCAUAUUGGUUUAGGAUGAUGAUAUAGUCUGAUCUUCUAGGCGACUAGAAGCAUGUAAACUUUUAGAGUUUACAGGGCAAUGCAUGGAUGCAGAGCU
rnacentral:rRNA from 1 species